UGCUAUACUGCAGUCGACGCUUUUUCUUUCACCGGAGCUUGCUCCACCGAAAGAAAAAGAGUGGCGAACGGGUGAGUAACACGUGGGUAACCUGCCCAUCAGAAGGGGAUAACACUUGGAAACAGGUGCUAAUACCGUAUAACACUAUUUUCCGCAUGGAAGAAAGUUGAAAGGCGCUUUUGCGUCACUGAUGGAUGGACCCGCGGUGCAUUAGCUAGUUGGUGAGGUAACGGCUCACCAAGGCCACGAUGCAUAGCCGACCUGAGAGGGUGAUCGGCCACACUGGGACUGAGACACGGCCCAGACUCCUACGGGAGGCAGCAGUAGGGAAUCUUCGGCAAUGGACGAAAGUCUGACCGAGCAACGCCGCGUGAGUGAAGAAGGUUUUCGGAUCGUAAAACUCUGUUGUUAGAGAAGAACAAGGAUGAGAGUAGAACGUUCAUCCCUUGACGGUAUCUAACCAGAAAGCCACGGCUAACUACGUGCCAGCAGCCGCGGUAAUACGUAGGUGGCAAGCGUUGUCCGGAUUUAUUGGGCGUAAAGCGAGCGCAGGCGGUUUCUUAAGUCUGAUGUGAAAGCCCCCGGCUCAACCGGGGAGGGUCAUUGGAAACUGGGAGACUUGAGUGCAGAAGAGGAGAGUGGAAUUCCAUGUGUAGCGGUGAAAUGCGUAGAUAUAUGGAGGAACACCAGUGGCGAAGGCGGCUCUCUGGUCUGUAACUGACGCUGAGGCUCGAAAGCGUGGGGAGCGAACAGGAUUAGAUACCCUGGUAGUCCACGCCGUAAACGAUGAGUGCUAAGUGUUGGAGGGUUUCCGCCCUUCAGUGCUGCAGCAAACGCAUUAAGCACUCCGCCUGGGGAGUACGACCGCAAGGUUGAAACUCAAAGGAAUUGACGGGGGCCCGCA
rnacentral:rRNA from 1 species